UAUGAUUCAAAUAUAUAAUUAACAUCCAGAGAAACUGUGUGCAUUUCACUUUGUAUGUGUUUCGUUCCAGGAGGCAAACUCUAUUAACAAAUCCUUUAGUUCUUUAGUAGAUGUGAUUCCAGCUUUGUCAAUGGAGCAGCCUCAUGUGCCCUACCGUAACAACAAGCUGACCUAGCUCAUGCAGGACUCACUGGGGGGCAAUGACAAGACCCUCAUUAUCCUCAGUAUCUCCCCCUCUGACUGCAACCUGGAUGAAACUCUCAACUCACUUAUCUAUGCAACUUGAGUGAAAGCCAUCACCAACAAUGCACAGAGGAACGUGGACAACAAGGAAAUUGCUCAGCUAAAAGAGGUGAUAUUAAAACUGAAGUUAGGCCAGCCUGUAGAAGAAGACGUCUGAGCUUCUAUCAGAUGGGGAUAUGGCUUUAUUAUCAAUUAGGCCAGUUUCUUGUGCAUGUUACGUUUGUACAUUUAAAGCGGAAGUGCGUCAUUUCUGUGCUUUCAAACAGCCUUCUGAAUAUAGCCCCUGACUGCUGUUGAUCACACAAACAUAUAGUCCCGCCCCAAACUCAAAUAAUUGGUUAGGUCAGUGUUGUUGUUUCGAGCUGGAUGGGUCGCUUAAAACAAACAGAACAGAGUGUUUGCAGUUUUCGAGAAAAUGUACAUAUGAAUGUCUUACUUACAGUUGUCUAUGCAUAUUAAGCUGGUUCCAAAAAAAUAUUUUUAACACACAAAAAGUGACACAUUUCAGCUUUAAGACUGAAUAUGAGGGUCUGAGGACAUAUUCAUUUAAUCAAAGCAAAUCAUUAAUCCUAAUUUGGAUUGCCUUCGGAUUUUAUAAUAAAAAUAUUAAAAUAUUUCAAUUAAGUACUUUUUAGUACUUUCUUACAGAUGAGCGUGUUGGUGGUUUGAAAUCGCGGUCAUAGCCUCUUUUGUGUGUGUAACGUGUUGGUUUGUUGUAUAAUGUCUGAGAGGAUGAGUUUGUACCCAGAAUUCAGUGUGUGUCCCUCUUCACCCCUUCUAAAUGUGCGUGUCAGGCCAAUGGCAAGGGCAAAGAUGGGCCAGGGCAUCGCAUGCAAACCUGUAAAGGCACAUUCAGGGGCUGGAGAGACUGGAGGAGCCAGGGCCAAUUAUGAAGUCACUUGGCCAGUUUAUGCUGCUAUUGUGCUAAAAGGAAUUGAGCGUGAAUAAAGCUUAAUUUGGCAAAUACAGCAGGUGAAUGAGAACGAGGGAACCCUGCUGAUUGACACUGUCACACAGUCAGAUCUCAUUGCAACAGACAUAGACAAUAGAAAGGCCCGUGUUGUUAUGCUUUUGAGGACAAUGGGGAGCUCACUAAAUUUAGAGUCCUGUUUUAUGUCCUGCAUGUAAGAAAUAAAGCAAUUUGUGUACACACAGGGCAAUAAAAUAUAAAGAAGCACUAUAAGAGAAUGGCUAGAGAGAAUUUUAUGAGGGUUUUUUUUUCUUUUCUGUAAAGUAAGAAAUUAAAUUCCAUCCAGUGUUGUGUGUAAUCUAACUACAAAAUAAUUACUGUAAUCUAAUAACUUUUAGUCAAAUAGUGUAAAACAUUACAUUUUAAAUUCUUGUAAUCGGAUUACAGUUACUGACUUUUAAUUAAGUUAAUUACUUUGAAGUACAGUACAUUACUUUUAUUACACAUACUUCUAAAAUAAUUACAAAAACACAAAUUAUGUUCAUAUGUUCUUCUGUUUGAAUUUAUGUGAGAGCUGAAGGGCCUGCGCCCCCUAACUAAGGGAUUGUAAGGGAGAAACAUGUGGUGCUGAGUUUAUGACUUGUGCAACACUGAACAAUAUUAACAUUAUUCUGUGAAAAGUUUGUUGGGAGGGUUACUCUUAAAAUGUAUUCCACUACAGAUUACAGAAUACAUGCUGUAAAAUGUAAUUUGUAACAUAUUCCGUUAGAUUACUCAAGGUCAGUAACAUAAACUAAAUACUUUGGAUUACUUCUUCAGUACUGGCAGAUUUUUUUCACUUGUUUUGACUAAACACAAGUGAAAAAAAGAUCUGCCAGUACAGUAAGACAAAAUACACUUAUAUUAAAAAUAUAUUUUCUGAAAAAAGCCUAAGUAUCUGCAGAGUAAAUGUAUCUUGUUUUUUGUAUUUUUCUUGAUAAAAAAAUAAAAUAAAAAAUAAUCAUGCCUGGUAACAGGUGCAUGUAAAAUGGCUAGAAAUGGUAUUUUAGCUUAGCAUACAGCUAAACGUUCACAUGAAAAUUUACACAAGGUUAACUAUUUCUGUUCCUCCAAAAUUACUUCAAAACCCCACAGAGUGUACACAGCAACAUCCUUUUCUGAUUUCAUUGACUUCAUAUCCACGGUUUCACUCAAAACAGUUUAAGAGCACCCUCUGUCUGAUCGUAUGAAUGUAACAAAUCAUAAGAAAGUGUUUCAUUGCUGGUCAAACGUUCCUUGGAUCGAUCAUUUAUACAGAUAAAAAAAACAUUUUUUUUUAAAUGUAUACAAAUUUAUAAAAAUA